UCCCUCACCCCCUUUUCUGCCCCCCACCACUUCUGGCCACUUCCUGAGGACGAAGUCCCUUCAAAGUGACGAGCUGCAUCUUUAGGGUGGUGGGAAGGCAUGGGAUGGCUUGGCAGGGUAUAUAAAUGAACUCAACUGUACACGUUCCACAACAGAAAUGGAUUCUAGGGGAGAAGAAUGAUGUUCAAGAUGGUUGAGUUUUAAAUUAAGCACAUCACUGCUCGAAUCUUCUCUGAUGGUGCCUGGAGCUACUGCCACAUGUGCUGUUCAUCUCAGCCUCUAGAUCUCAAAAUCUCCAUGACCCCAGACCUCCAGACUCCCAGACCACCCGACCGCCAGAUCUCUCUCCCAACUUGUGAAGAGCAACUGGCCAAAAAAUGACAGAGACCUCACAGCAGUAUAUGGAAGGACAGAAAUGAUCUUUUUCAUUGGAGCAAACCUAGAAACUAUGGGAUGGGGGAGAGAAAGAUGGAAAAGUUCCUCGUCUUCCCGUCU